ACUGCAUUUCAAUGAACGUCUCGCACAUUCACGUCGUCUUUUCCGCUUUGGUUCUCCUCUCGGGAGCAGAAGAAUGGAAUCCGUGGCCUCCCUUACGUUUCCAGAUCUCAUCUCGAUUAGGGUUUUCUUGCUCUCGAUCUUAACGUCUGACCUAAUGGAACGCGAGUCUAGUCCUUUUUCUUGCCCGUGAUUCAUCGGAACUUGGUAACUUCUUCGUCUUUCUCCAGAUCGUCUUUGUGUUGCUGCUUGUUCAAUGAUGUCGUACGAACCCGUACGAUCGAGGUACGUGAAGCUCACCAAGGACCAGGAUGCGCCGUUAGAGGAGAUCCGCCCAGGAGAGCUCAAUCAACCCGUUCGCGUUCCCCAGUUGGGGGUCCGCCGGUGUCCCGAGUGCGGGCAACCUUUGCCUGAAAGCUAUGAGCCACCUGCUGAUGAAUCUUGAACUACUGCAAUUGGUGGCUGUGCUAAGGAUCCUGAGAGCUAACUCUCCAUGUCAACCUUGUAUGGUCCAUUGCUGCAUGCAUUGGUGUGCCAUCUGUCAGGAGCAUUGAGAAAUGAAAGGUCAGUUAUCCGGUGAUCUUGUGCAGAUUACAGUUGUCAAUCCACCGGCGGUGCAAGAAAUAAGCAACCAUAGUUCGAGCCUACAUGCUGAAUUGGAGAUGAAAGCAUUUUGGUUCAUCUGAUUUCCAGCACACAUCGAGAACGUCUAGCAGAAGAAAGAAGGCUGAAAGAUCAAUUCUUUUAUGUUUUUUUUUUUAACAAACGUUAAUGACAUCUCAAGGAAAAUUGCUGGUAUUUUUACCAUCCGACUAGUUUACUUUUUUUUCUUUGCAUUACUAUUUUGAUGCUUCUAGCUGAUUUAGGGGAUAAUUUCAUGGUUUCCUGUCCUUUAACCAUGUGGCCACCAUUUAUAAAACGUGGCAACUUUACAGACUACUUCUGAUCUGUCUCUCUGAUUUGGCUGUUAGAACUACAUGAUUCUGCAUUCUUCAAUUUUAAUUGAGUAUGAGAGGAUGCUGGUUUUUUUCUAGGACAACAAGGUGCUCAGAUCUAGGCAUUUUCUGUAAAUGAAGAUUCGAUGCUUGUUCAGAUAAAGAGAGUCUGAUGGAUUUGCUUCGUCGAACUUUAGUGCGCGGUUGCUGCAAUCAAGUGAUGGUACCAACUCAUAGAGCCCGAGACGUCGGGAGCAUAUUAACUUCAACCAUGGCGGGCGACGUCCUUUCACGGCCAUAAACCAUCUCCUUGGAUUCGCCACGUUUUCCUUGCACGCCCACGAGACGAAAUCUCGGCUCCCUCCCCUCUUGACUGUGAGUAUUCUCUUUUUGAUUGAUAUAACAGCCUUUCACAUCAACGUCAUGCUCACCUUAUCACCAACUUCGCUCUACUUUUGUUGCUCACAAUACUUGAGAUAGACUGCUGCAAACCCUUGUUCGCGAUACUUACUUUUCUUGCUUUUCGUUGGAGUAAUAUAUAGAUUAUAAGGAAUCCUUUUAGCGUCAGGAGGAUCGCAAGCUGACAAGAUCUGUAGGGUUUGGAUUUUCGCGAAACAUGCACCGUAGAUUCUUCGAUAGCCUUGUAAAGCAUAUUCGAUAGAUUUUAUACCACGUUUUUUUUUUUUUUUUAUAUAUGAUAUCGUUUCUCACAAUGUAAUAUGAUAAACUGCUUCAUCUUUUAGUAUAUGAUAAAAAUGAUAGAAGAUAAGAAUAAUUAUUGAAUAAAUUUUAUUGAAGUAACUUUAGCUUGAAUACGAAUCUUGGAUCGAUGCAAAGAAUGAUUUAUGAGCCAAGGCUUCGUGAGUAGGGCAAGAGCGGAUCGUUGCUGUUGUUGUUGUUGUUGCAGCUGCGACAGCGACGACUGUAGUAAAGGAGAAAGCUACAGUAAUAGAAAAAGCUAUAGCAAUGCUGUAGCAGAGGAAUAAGCUGCAGUAGAAGAGGAAGUUGCAACGAUGUUAUAGCAGAGGAGGAAGCUACAACAGAGGUGCAGCAGAGGAGAAAGCUGCAAUAGAGGUACAACAGAGGAGGAAGCUGCAAAAGAGGAGGAAGCUGCAACGAUGCCAUAAUAGAGAAGAAGGCUACAACAAAGGAGGAAAGGUGGGGCAGUGCUAGUGAGCGUAGCACUAGAGACGCCACAGCGGAAGGGAACGGACGUUGGUGCAGAGUGGAAGUGGAGAAGACAGUUGUCGUUCAUCGAGAAGGAAAGAUUUAUCGCACCGAUGGCCUGACGACGGAAAAACAAUAGUAGAAAGCUUUUUCUUUUGUCACCGGAGGUGGAGAAGCAACAGAUAAGUCGACAUCGAGAAGAGAGCUUGCUUUAGGCAAGUGGCUCUGAUACCAUGAUAAAAAUGAUAGAAAAUAAGAAUAAUUAUUGAAGAAGCUUUAUUGAAUUAACUUUAGCUUGAAUACAUUAACAUGUCCCUCUCAAUCUUAUCUUACCUUCACCCUUUGAUACGAAUUAUUAGUUCUAAAUGUUUAAGUUCAACCUAUCAACUAAUUCGACUUUCCCCUUAUGAUUCAAAUAUAGUCUAAAAUUAAAAUCUUUUCAGGUAUAGUGCUUCUGUCAUCCUCGUAAGGCUCAAAUAUUAUUCGCACUUGAUGUUCAGCACAGAAUUAGUUGAUUUACUGUGAUAACUAGUUCUUUAGCUUGAUAAAUCUAAACAACUAGCUCAAAACAUUUAAUCCAAAUUAAUGAUAGUAGAAUCAUUAAUUUAAUAUGAUGAAAAUGAAUCAUUAGCCAAAAUAUAUAGGUGUUAAUACAUGAAAGUCAAGAUUGCAAUGCAUCAUCUCUAUUGAAACAUUCUCUCAGUUAGCAUACUAUUAUACCGUUGGCAGGACUUAAGUUUGAGUUCGAAUAAGAAUUUAAUAUAAUACAAAUUUCAAUGCAUAAAACCUUAUAUAAUUUGAUGUCUUGUUAAAAAAUAAGUUAUAAUAAAAAUAUUCUGAAAAUGUUAUUGCAGCCUCAGUCAAUUUGAGAUUAAGUUCUGAUAAGGGUACUCCAAAAGUUCAUCCACAUGUAUCCAAACUGUAGUGAACCCUGUGGAGCUUGUGCAUGAAGUUUAUCUUUGAUCACCACCAUGCGUGUUUACUUUCUUUUAUCUUAUUUAUUUUUCUUUUGUGUUUGUCUUCCUUCUCUCACUCACCUCUUUUGUUUUCCCACCUGUCUUCUUGUUUACAAAAGAAAAGGUAUUUAUUUCAUCAUCAAUAAGCAUAGUAUCCACUUUGCAGCAGGACAGUGGGAUGGAAUUUUCCCUGUAAGUUUAAUGUCAGAGCAGUUCAUUGUCAUCUUUUGAAACAUGAUGUACACAUGGAUUGCAUAUGUUGAGAUUACACAGUGCAAAAAAUGUUGACUAUUGUGUACUUUGGAAUCCCUUCCAAGAAGAGAAUCUGGGAUGCCUCCUCCUUUCAUGUCCCCAUGAUUGAUGGAGGAGAGAAGUGGUAAGACAGCCUAGCUUCAGUAAUACCCAUGCAUUCUCCUCGUGAAACAACGAGGGACCUUAUCUUUGCUUGUGCUGACCUUUGGCCCAGCUUCCAAUGAGGACCAUCCUUAGUUCUUUAAUCAAGCAGAAAAUGAUGCAUCUUUGGUCUCCUUAGCUGCUCUUGGAUUCAUUCUGGAGGCUGGGACACUGUCCCUAGUACCAUUCUGAUGACACCAGUGUGACAUUUUACUGUAAUUACUCCCUCAUCUCUGAUGGUAUAUCUAAAGGAAGCAAACUAAAGAAGUAGUAGAGUGCUCUUUGGAUCUGAUCAACCAUUUCCCUUGUUUGCAGUAUCCAACUAACUGCUUGUGUUUGAGUUAUGACCUAGGUUACUGAA